CCCGUAGUAGCUAGGGUGCAACUAUUGCAAGAAGGAAAAUGACAAAAUACGUUUUAUGCAAGCUUUGGUACAGGGCCACAACACAAGCAGCAUGCUGGGAAGUGCUGCCCUGACUCUUUUCGCAGACAUCCCUCGCCAAUUCUCCCUCUAGCACAGUUUACCCAAAGCCCGCUAGAAACUGAACAAGGCAAGAGCAAGCAAAGGAGUGGCAGUAGGAGGAUGAGGCUGCUUAGAGGAACCUACGAGUGCGUGUGUGUGCAUGUGUGCGUGCGUUAAGCCAGCGCUAGCAGGGGGGCCCCCCUCUCCCAGCGCCCACCCACCCCCGCUGGCCGGGGGCGGGCUCGAACCCGCGGCGCGGCGGCCCCGCACUCCGGGCCGGCCGCCGGGCUGCACGGAGCCGGCCGCAGCGCUCCGUCCUCCGCCGCCCCCUGCCCGCAGAAGCUGCAAGACCUUCUGAAGCCAGACCUAAAAAUGUGCAUUCUUAGAUGCUGCAGUUUAAGAGUGCUUAAAAUAUUGUUGCUAUAUAGAAAAAAAAAAUUAAAAAAAAAAAAAAAAAAAUCCUCAAUAUAUAUAAUACCAUUAGCUUAUAGCUAGAAAUGUAUCUGAUCAAGGUAAACCCAAAUCCACCUGACAGCAGAAUCUUACCUCUUACAAAGAUUAACCAACCUUGAUAAUAAUAACAAAAACACAGGACCAAACCUCAUGAAUCUGCCUUGAUUGAGCUGCAGAUAUUUUUCACUAAGACCGGUAGGGGAAAAAAGAAAGGAAUUCAACUUAAGCAAAUGAUCCUUCAGAUGAAGGAUUACUGUGAGUGUGAAUAUCAUACUAAAUGCUCAGCAGAUUUAGAAGGGCACAUGGUCCUUGACUGAACUAUUAUACUUCGCCCAAGGACAGCACAACUACAUGUACUACAAGCUCAAGGUAGCAGAAUCAUCUUCAUGCAUUCAUUGUUAAAGAAGUGUUUUAAUUACCUGGUUACAAUGUAUUCUUAAUAUGCUUUGCAGGUUAAAUUGGAAAACCUUCAGGAAAGCUGAAUUUUUAGGCGGGAAGGUGGAACUGAU
rnacentral:lncRNA from 1 species